rnacentral:rRNA from 1 species
AUACGGAGGGUGCGAGCGUUAAUCGGAAUUACUGGGCGUAAAGCGUACGUAGGCGGUUGGUUAAGUUAGAUGUGAAAGCCCCGGGCUUAACCUGGGAACUGCAUUUAAAACUGGCGAACUAGAGUUGAGUAGAGGGGAGUGGAAUCUCAGGUGUAGCGGUGAAAUGCGUAGAGAUCUGAAGGAACACCAGUGGCGAAGGCGACUCCCUGGACUCGAACUGACGCUGAGGUACGAAAGCGUGGGUAGCAAACGGGAUUAGAAACCCCAGUAGUCC